rnacentral:rRNA from 1 species
CCUACGGGAGGCAGCAGUGAGGAAUAUUGGUCAAUGGACGAGAGUCUGAACCAGCCAAGUAGCGUGAAGGAUGACUGCCCUAUGGGUUGUAAACUUCUUUUAUAUGGGAAUAAAAUGUUCCACGUGUGGGAUUUUGUAUGUACCAUAUGAAUAAGGAUCGGCUAACUCCGUGCCAGCAGCCGCGGUAAUACGGAGGAUCCGAGCGUUAUCCGGAUUUAUUGGGUUUAAAGGGAGCGUAGGUGGAUGGUUAAGUCAGUUGUGAAAGUUUGCGGCUCAACCGUAAGAUUGCAGUUGAAACUGGCAGUCUUGAGUACAGUAGAGGUGGGCGGAAUUCGUGGUGUAGCGGUGAAAUGCUUAGAUAUCACGAAGAACUCCGAUUGCGAAGGCAGUUCACUGGACUGCAACUGACACUGAGGCUCGAAAGUGUGGGUAUCAAACAGGAUUAGAUACCCUUGUAGUC